CCUAGGGUGGCGGCAGUGGGGAAUAUUGGACAAUGGGCGAAAGCCUGAUCCAGCCAUGCCGCGUGUGUGAAGAAGGCCUUCGGGUUGUAAAGCACUUUCAGUGGGGAAGAAAGCCUUGGGGCUAAUACCCUCGAGGAAGGACAUCACCCACAGAAGAAGCACCGGCUAACUCCGUGCCAGCAGCCGCGGUAAUACGGAGGGUGCGAGCGUUAAUCGGAAUUACUGGGCGUAAAGCGCGCGUAGGCGGUCUGAUAAGCCGGUUGUGAAAGCCCCGGGCUCAACCUGGGAACGGCAUCCGGAACUGUCAGGCUAGAGUGCAGGAGAGGAAGGUAGAAUUCCCGGUGUAGCGGUGAAAUGCGUAGAGAUCGGGAGGAAUACCAGUGGCGAAGGCGGCCUUCUGGACUGACACUGACGCUGAGGUGCGAAAGCGUGGGUAGCAAACAGGAUUAGAUACCCUAGUAGUC
rnacentral:rRNA from 1 species